ACACUCAUGUUUGUCUUCAUAUCGUAUAAAUCUUUCGCCUAUUAUUAAAGAUUCCCGUGGAGAGCAACACAAUGAGUAUAAUAUAAUUUUUUGAUGUUCUGCUUAAUUGUGGGGU
ensembl:snRNA U5 U5 spliceosomal RNA